GUUAAUGAAUACUCAGGAAGAUAUGGAUAUACUUUCUCUCUUUUUUAGACGUGAAUCCAAAGCAUAGAGCGGGACUCAGUUGCUGACCCGUUCAUGUUCAACACCCGUUGCAGUGCCUUAGGUUGCCUCAGGCAUCUGCAUUAGGCUGGCAGAUAUGAUGCAGACCUGAGGGAGAACAGACAGCUUUCUGGAGUAGGUGCUGGAUGACAGACAGGGAGCAUUCACAGAGUCUAAAAUGACAUUACAUAGCUAUCUUUGAGCAAUUAAAUCCUCCUUUACUUUUCCUCCUUCACUUUAUCUAUGGUUACGUGGAAUUUCUUUGGUAAGAUCUGCAAUAGAAUUUGGGAUUUUUCUAGUUCUUCAGUGCCAUGCUCAAAGUACUAGGUGGUCUCUGCAAUCCAUCUUGAUAGAGCUGUGUCAUGUAGCAGAAAUACUCUCGCAGUCACGUCGUAGAAACGUAAAUUAAUAAUGGAAACUUUUUCCAGUGCUGAAUAAAAACAAACAGUAAGUGUCAAGCAUUAAUUAACAAUGUAAUGAGAAUAUAAUGAGACUUCGGUUCAGGCAUGUGCUUUUUUUUAACAGAAUGUCUUUUCUUUGUUGUAUUGCAGAAGAAGAAAUGGUGACUGAGUUGUACAGAAGAACCAGGACAAUCCAAAAAGGGCAGGUGGCUGCUGGGAAGCUACUACAGGAAAGGAGUUUACUAACGUGUUCAAGACCUGGAAUUAUGCAGUGGAGCAGUAUAUUUUAGAAACUAUGGAGAAAGUUCAGAACAACAUGGUUAAAAGAAAACAUCUGGGACGGGGUCCUGGACCCCUCCUUAAAGAGCUGGGAUUUGAAGAAAGGUUUUCUUAUUUGUGGAAGACAGUACAAGACAAUAUAUUAGGAAUAUUGAAACUCUGAAGCGAGAGAGAGACUUAAG
rnacentral:lncRNA from 1 species